AAUGCAAAACUUUUGGCAAAACAAACAAAAAAAUCCAUGUAUUCAAAUUUUCUGAGCUUCAAGGAGACUUAAAACAAUGGACAGAUAAUGCAAAGUCUUUACAUCUUUGAAUCCAGAAAACGUGAAGUUAUUAACAUUACCAGAAUCCUCCAUCAACCUGGGCAGCUUUGUGUUACACUGACACCAUCUUGAUCUAUAUCGCUGAAACCUACACGAGGGAGAGUGGGAACAAAAAGGUGUAUUUAUAGAAAAACAUUGGAGCAGUGGACCUGGAAACCAGUGGAAAAUAAGGUUCAGAAGUGUCAAGUAGCCUGCCAUCCCAGGAAUGUGAGCACAAGCAAGAAAUCAGACGCCGCCCACAUGGCCUGGGAACUGGCAACUUCCUGCAGCACAGACGCUAUCCCUACCAUCUUUCAGGAGUUCUCCCUACAUGAAAGUUGGUAAAAGAAGGCAGGGCCCAGCUUGUUUAGCCUCAGCAAUGAGUGCAUGUAUUGCUAGGCUCAAAUUUCUCAGCGUCCUCUGCCUGCUGCAAAUGACCAUGAAAGUGAUAAUAAACUGGACAGAAACACAGAAGGUAUUCCCCUUUUGGAGCAUUUGAAAACAAGCAAAGCAAAAUUGUAACCGCAAGAGAUGAGAAAAUACAAGAUGAAGUGAAGCGGGUGUUUGCCUGGUUUCUGGCCUGAGACCUUUUCUGACUGAGGCUCCAGGGUGCCACAGUAACCAGAAAUGGACACUGGGAAGAUCCAGAGAGAGAAGUUAUUUGUUAAUGUCAACAGACCAUGAGACUUAGUAUACCUGACACAAGAGACGUUAUUUGGAGUUAACACGCAUGGUCCCCACACUGUAUGUAUGCACUGGAAGCUACUGCCAGAGCACAAACAGAAAAUGAUGGCAUUUGGAAGUAAAAGUCAAACCUUCAUUGUUUACUCUGGCAGUGACUAAUAAACCAAGGAAUAAAAUUCCUACUGUUAGUCACAAGGUACACCAGUGCUGGACAAAGACCUGCACUGGGUUAAUGGGGAGAUCUGGCUCAUAAAAGGUGGUCUUCUGGGGCUAGGGAGGUUGCUCGGUGGUUAAAGUGCUUACUACUCUAGCAGAAGACCUGAGGUCUGUUCCCAGCACAUGCAGCUUACAACCACCUGUUAACUCCAGGUCCAGAUCAGACUGCUCUGGCUUCUUCUGAUACCUGCUCUCUCUCUCUCUCUCUCUCUCUCUCUCUCUCUCUC